rnacentral:rRNA from 1 species
AAUGAACGCUGGCGGCAGGCCUAACACAUGCAAGUCGAACGGGAUCUUCGGAUCUAAUGGCGGACGGGUAAGUAACGCGUGGGAACGUGCCCUUUGCUUCGGAAUAGCCCCGGGAAACUGGGAGUAAUACCGGAUGUGCCCUUUGGGGGAAAGAUUUAUCGGCAAAGGAUCGGCCCGCGUUGGAUUAGGUAGUUGGUGGGGUAAUGGCCUACCAAGCCGACGAUCCAUAGCUGGUUUGAGAGGAUGAUCAGCCACACUGGGACUGAGACACGGCCCAGACUCCUACGGGAGGCAGCAGUGGGGAAUCUUAGACAAUGGGGGCAACCCUGAUCUAGCCAUGCCGCGUGAUCGAUGAAGGCCUUAGGGUUGUAAAGAUCUUUCAGCUGGGAAGAUAAUGACUGUACCAGCAGAAGAAGCCCCGGCUAACUCCGUGCCAGCCGCCGCAGUAAGAC